rnacentral:lncRNA from 1 species
GAAGUUACAAAAAUUAGAUCAAUCAGUUAAAGACAUAAGUGAUUAAAUAUCUUCAACCAAAAAAUAUACUUGGAAAACCUUCUUGCCCCAUUACCAAGUUUUUUUAAAGAGAAAAAUUCAAAUGUCUCUAAUCUAACCAAUUCACCAAUGGACUUAAACUAAGAAAUCAUAAAUUUUGGGUAACUGAACAUAUUCCAAAUCACCAAGCUUGGCAAACUUACCAUCUCGGUAAUUCCUUGAAUCAAAGAAGAAAG